UACGUAGGGGGCAAGCGUUGUCCGGAUUUAUUGGGCGUAAAGAGCGUGUAGGCGGCCAAGCAGGUCAGCUGUGAAAACUCGAGGCUCAACCUCGAGACGUCGGUUGAAACCGCUUGGCUAGAGUCCGGAAGAGGAGAGUGGAAUUCCCGGUGUAGCGGUGAAAUGCGCAGAUAUCGGGAAGAACACCCGUGGCUAAGGCGGCUCUCUAGUACGGUACUGACGCUGAGACGCGAAAGCGUGGGGAGCAAACAGG
rnacentral:rRNA from 1 species